UGGGGCCAGCUGACUGAAGUAAGCAGA
rnacentral:piRNA from 1 species